CCUACGGGUGGCAGCAGUAGGGAAUCUUUCACAAUGGGCGAAAGCCUGAUGGAGCAACGCCGCGUGCAGGAUGAAGGCCUUCGGGUUGUAAACUGCUUUUAUAAGCGAGAAAUAUGAUGGUAACUUAUGAAUAAGGAUCGGCUAACUACUUGCCAGCAGCCGCGGUCUUACGUAGGAUCCGAGCAUUAUCCGGUGUGACUGGGUGUAAAGAGUUGCGUAGGUGGGAUAAUAAGUAGCUAGUGAAAUCUGUUGGCUCAACCAUUCAGACUAUUAGCUAAACUGUUAAGCUCGAGACCGUUAGAGGUAACUGGAAUUUCUAGUGUAGGAGUGAAAUCCGUAGAGAUUAGAAGGAACACCAGUGGCGUAGGCAGGUUACUGGGACGGUUCUGACACUGAGGCGCGAAAGCGUAGGGAGCAAACGGGAUUAGAUACCCGGGUAGUC
rnacentral:rRNA from 1 species